GCCCGCCUAGCUCAAUCGGUAGAGCGUCAGACUCUUAUGUCCAGGCGGGUUGUAUUCCAAACGGAAUCUGAAGGCUGCGGGUUCGACCCCCGCGGUGGGCU